rnacentral:lncRNA from 1 species
AGAUAACUUGCAUGAGUAAAAAAAAAAAGACAACUGAGGAUGGGUAAAAGUAAUGUCUGAAGUGGCUGUUGGGCUGGAUGAGCCUAAGUCACACAACCCUAUGAGAGUAUGACUCGGACUGAGAAGCAGAAUUUGGAACUCAUCGUAGGAGCCAUAGCAAAAUGUGGCACUGAUAGUACUAAACUACACUGCACAUUGGCUUAAUUUAUUGGGCAUUUUCACACAGAGGCCUUAAACUAAAGAGUGCUGAAUUCAGACUUAUGGUUCAGCCUGAUGUCUAGAUAUUGUACCUUCUUCCAUACCCUCACUGCCCAAUUGUCUGUGCUCACUGAGCAUGCUUAUGCUUGACAUCACGAUUCAGUUGCUUUCAGUUUUUGCAACAGUUUUAGUCAAAGCAUGCACAUUGGAAUCAGAAGCUGCCAAUGUCCAUAAGCACUGAAGAAUAUCCACGGCCAAAAUUGUGGUUAUUGUUCUUGGGAUGCAUAAUGAAAACAAAAACGCAACAACAACAAAAAUGGUUUGAACCAUAAAAUAUUUUGAGGGACUAAGCAGACUCCAGCCCUUCCUGUCUCCUCUUUUGUUUUCCAAAUGCAUCAACAGAUGGCCAUGGAAGUGCUAAAUCUGUACCUUGAGUGACCUUUGCCAUUGAGGAAGGUAAAUCAGUUGUGGCAGGAAGCCUCCCAGAAUAUCUCUAAAGGACUGAGUUGGUAGGUACUUGUUGUAAACAAAUCUAAUUAAAGAAGAUUCUCCAAUGUUGUGAUUAGCAAACAGUAUUGCUGUGGUGCAGGUUCUAAACAUUACCUUGUUUCAGGAGAGAAAAAAUUAGCAAAUCACAGAAUGGUUAUAGAGACAGAGUUUUUUUUUAACCCUGCGAAAGGUUAAUUGGUGAGUGGGUCGCAGAGAGUAAGUAGUUUGGAAAUGUGUUUCAGAUACCCUUCAAAUUACAUAUUUCAUUAUCUGUGUGGUGUGCCAGCAUUGUAGCUGUCCAGUAGUUCCAUCAAUUCUAUAAGGGGGCUCAAUUUUAAAACUUGAUUGAUCUUGUCUUAUUCCUUUGGAGUGAUAUGGAAAGUGUGAAAGGUUUGCUCUGAAGCUGUUGGCAACAAUCACCUGAUUGGCCAAUACAUUGCCAGUCUUUUCUUAACUUCCUGGGACUUGAAAUGCCCUCGCUUUACAAAUCUCCAUGCUUCUUACUCCAAGUUGGGACAGCAUUGACUGCUGCUUUUCCUAUGUUUUAGAUGUCUUGUACCCUGUCUGUAUUAACUAUUACCAGUGCUAUUUUUCUAGAAAAAGAGGUGCUGGAACUCAUAACGAAUGCCUCCCUUGUUCUCUUACAUUGGCAAUGGUGCCCACCUCAGAGAUGCUGGAACUGAGUUCUGGUGAGUUCCAGCUGGAAAAAGAAAAGCCCUGACUAUAACUACUACUACUUCUCAAUACCUGUGUUUCAGAGCCAUAGCACCCGGUAAUAGAUGUUGUAGGCUUUCCUAUGCUAAUGCAAUAAUCAUCUGAGGCAAGAUGGGGGAAGUGGAGUGCUUGGUUUUAAAGGAGGUGUGCAUGCUUUGAGCCUGCACAUGCGCUUCAUUACUGGCUUAGGCUACAAUUCUAACCUCACUUAACCUGGAUUCAAGGAGCCACUGAAUUCCAUAGGACUUUCUUCUGAGUAGACAAGGUUGGGAUUGUGCUGUUAAUCAUUGCAGUCAGACAAACUACUGCAUGUUUUUCAAUAUGUGCAAAGUUGUCUGCAGUUUUCAAUUUGCCUGAAUGCAUGUGAGCAAUGGCUUUUUUUUGGGGGGGGGGGUCCAAACUCAACCAUGUGAAAGGGCUAAAGAAAGACAAUCAAUAAGCUUUUAUCAACCUGGUGCCUUCCAGAUGUGUCCAGUGCUUAUUACCACUCCAAGUCUCAUUAGCCUUUACUGGGAGUGGAAGCUCUACAACAUCUGGAAGGCAGCAGGUUGGCUAACCCAGUUACAGAGAUUUAGAGUGUUCCAUUCUUCAGGGUUUUUUUGUGUGUCAACCAGAUGGGCCCAUCCUUUCAACUUCCAAAAUAAAUAAAUACAGGCACACACGGUUCAGAAAUGCAUAGUAGCAAAUGAUUAUGUCAAAAGUACAACUGGGCCUGUGUUCAUUCUUUUUGCAUAACAUAGAAACGUCCGCACUGAAUGAUGCUCUUGUAUACCACAUUUUUCUUACAAAAUGAAUUCACCUUACCUCACUUGGUGUAAAUACUUUUCUUCUUAAAAUUCUUAUUUUCACUGCAUGAAUGGACACUGAAAUUUGAAAUCCUAUAUCUAAUUUGGCUGGGUGUAGUAGGUACCAUUGAGUACAGUGGAUUUAUUUCUGUAUGCAAUUGUACUGACAUGCUGCUUUUAAAUAUAAAUGACAAGAUAGUGGCACUUGGGCAGCAGGAGAGUAAACCUCAGUGGAAAUGCAAAAGUUCGAUCUAAAUCAACUUAGGCAGGAAGCUCAUAUUCAUGCUUAUUUAAACAGAUGCUGCAAACCAGGAAAUCACUAUGAUGCAUUCCCAGAAAGAGGACAUCACUGCAAAAGCUAUUGAAUCAAAAUGCAGUUGCUUCACAUUUAUGUAGGGUUGUAAUAAGUCACAUUCAAAGCAGUCCCAUUGAGAUCAAUGGACUUGAGUUAGUCAUGAAUACAACCUAUACAGCUUUGCAGCUUUUAAAGCCCAGCUGCUUAGUUAAGGUUCGGAGAACCUGGUCAUUGGCCAUGCUUGCUGGGACUGAUGGCAGUUGUUGUUCAACACCAUCUAGAGGGCAAAAGUUCCCCACAUCUGGUCUAGGCAAAAGAUAGCCAAAACAUCUUAAGUGGCUUACACAACACUUGCAGUGCUCAGCUUUCUUUCCGUUCCAUAUGGUUUUCGAUUCUAAGGUUAGAUGUGUGCUAGGACGCGGGUGGCGCUGUGGUCUAAACCACAGAGCCUAGGGCUUGCCGAUCAAAAGGUCAGCAGUUUGAAUCCCUGCGACGGGGUGAGCACCCGUUGUUUGGUCCUAGCUCCUGCCCACCUAGCAGUUCAAAAGCAUGUCAAGCGCAAGUAGAUAAAUAGGUACCACUCCGGCGGGAAGGUAAACGGCGUUUCCGUGCGCUGCCAGACGCGGCUUAGUCAUGCUGGCCACAUGACCCAGAAGCUGUCUGCGGACAAACGGCGGCUCCCUCAACCUAUACAGCGAGAUGAGCGUGCAACCCCAGAGUUGUCUGCGACUGGACCUAACGGUCAGGGGUACCUUUACCUUUAGGAAUGCAAUAAAGAGACUUGGUCCCUGCUACUUUGGGAGUAUAGGAUAGGUGUGGGAAGCCUUUUGUCUGACACCAACUUCCAUCAGCUCCAGACAGUAUUGCCAGUGGUCAUCUUGAGGCUCAGAGAUUGAACAAAUUUUAAUUUCAGACUAUGAAUGCACAUUGCAGAUUAUUAACUGAAAAAUGAGCCAAAAUAGGUACAGUGUACCAGAAUAGUCCACUAAGGUAAGAUGGGGAGUAAUUUGGAAAGUUACUUUGCAGUUGCAGAAAAACAUCAAGCAAAAGUCAUUAUCCUAGUCUGUAUUCAUAUUCAGUGGCAGGGAUGGGGAACUUGUGGGUCAUGCAUGUUUGGACUAACAGUAAACCUUGGGUCUGAGAAGAUCCUGUUUUUUAAAUAAAAUGAAAAAGAGGCUUGGGAGGCGGAAAUUCUGAGCAUCAGAGUUAUGGUGGAGGUUGAGCUUAUCCCUUCCCCCCUAUUGACAUCUCUACCAGAUAGGUGAGAACAAGGGAGUGGUUUUUCUAUUUAAGUAGCACUCAGCAGCUUUCUCUUUCCAUCCUACCUCCCAGGUUUGAGAUGUAGGGAAAGGGCUAAGUGUCCUCUCUUUCUUUGCUUAAAAAUUGCCACCUCCCUAGGGGAGGCUUUUCAUUUCAAAUAUCUUAAGUUGCAAUAUUGUUGAACUACAUGAAACUCAGAACUGUGCAUGUACAGCCUUCUCAAUGACUUUCCUGUGUUGGGUUUUAUAUAUUCUACACAGGCUUUUAACUGAAAAAUAGCAACCAUACGCUUCUUAAAAUGUCCCUCUUCUUGCUUCAUUGUUUUGUAAUAAAUUCUGUUGUUAGGGAUGUGCAGGAUCAACAGGAACAACCUCAUAAUUGUGCCAAAGUCUGUUAACAUUUAGCUACACCCAAAUUUCACUUUUGUAUGGGUGUAACAGCUCAUUGUCAUGUUUUUCUUUCUCUUCCCUUAUUUCUUUGCAAGAUAGUAUAAAUGUUCCUUUGGCUUGUUGACUUGGCCACGUAAUCCUGACUUGGAAGGCUGUGGACACUUUUCAGUCAGAACAUAGUGAGCCUUAGCUAGUCUGAAAACUUGACCUGUAGCUCUGCUUAAUCCUGUGCAAGGCGGUUUGAUGCCACAAUGUCCUGCAAGAUCCAUAGAAUAUCAGAAAAAAAAACAUGUACAAUGUACAUGUACAAUUCUAGCACUUUCCCACAAGUAAGGCCAGCUGUACCAUUAGGUAGUGUAGGGAGCCAUCUAGGGAAUCCCUGUUUGGGAGUAUGGAUUGUUAUUUGUUUUAUUUUUUGUGUGGGGUAGAAGGUAUACUUUUCUAGUGCCACCUUAGUGCAUGAGCUUGUGACAUUGGGAAAAGUGGAGGGUGAAAGGAAGACAGCCUUCUUCAUGUAAGCAAGAGCUGAUCAGCCAGCAGUGGAUCAUGGGAGUUGUAGGCCAAAAACAUCUGUAGGGCCAAGGUUGAGGAAGCCUGGUCUACACUGACUGGAAGCAGCUCUCCAAAGUUUCGGGUGGGAAUCUUUCCCAGCCAACUGGGAGAUGCCUGAGAUUCAACAUGAGACUUUACAUACUGUAUACAAUAAUAGUACGUAAUAUAAUAAUAGUAUAUAAUAACAGGGUGCCUUUUUUUGCAUACUAUGCUGUGUGAUGCAAUUGAUCCUUUUACAGCAGGGUUUCCCAAACUGACUGUAGCUGUUUUGGGACUACAACUUCCAUCAUUCCAAGCUAGUAGGACCCAGUGGUCAGGGAUGAUGGGAACUGUAGUCCAGAAACAGUUUGGGAAAUCCUGCCUUACAGGAACCAACUGGUCUUUUUUUCACCAUUUUUAGUUUAACCUAGAUGUGAAAAUGGGCCUCCUGAGCACAUAAUGUCAGAUCAUAAUAGAUUACUGAAGCUUUGCCAGGCUUUACCGUCUUUGAGUUGCGGCUUUCCUCUCAUGUAUGAAUGAGAUGCUUAGCCUCAGCAGUUGCUUUUGCCAAAGAAGCUGUUAAACUCGUCGAUGGAGCGGUUAUGCACAAGUGACUGACUUGCUAAGUGCAUUUCUGUCUUCCUGUGCAGGAAAGGGAGGCCCUUUCGGCAUCCCAUACUCCCACUAAGUGCCCUUUGCCGCCUCCAGCUCUAUUUUUGAGACACCUGCUUCCAGUCUGACAAGGAAACCCCAAAUAUAAUCCCAUCCCACAUAAUUAACAAACCUCCCUCUUACAGAUAGCUAAUGAACUUUUGCAGACAGUGGUUGUCAACGGGUGACUCUUUAAUCACCUGGUGUUGAAAAAUAUUAUAUUGUUAGGCAAUCGUAAAUGGCAUUUUCAGGCAUAUUACUGGGAGGCAAGUAUGAGGCAUAGACAAAGAUCCUUCUUUUAUCCUAACAUCCCUUUCAGACUUCUUUUCUGAUGUGUUGAGUGGAGAGGUUUGAGGGUACAUUGUGAGGCAAAAUCUGUACUGAUUGGGCCUUAACUUUGUUUCACCACUUUAGGGAAAUGCCUGACCAUCAGGCCCAGACCCCCCUCAGCCCCAGACAGCAUGGCAAGUGGCCAGGGAUGCUGCGAGUUGUGGUCAAGCAACACAUGGAAGGCCACAGAUCCCUAAUCCUUGAUCUAAAUCCCCUGUUCUGCAGCUGAGGAACCCUACAUAAUGCUGGCCAAGCCAACCUUCUCAGGGCCACUGUGUGUUGUAGGUUUGACCUUGUCUCUGCAGCGCUUCUAUAGGGCUGGUUUUCAGUCUGCCUGCUGUGUCUCCGAUAGUAGCCGCAAGUACAAAUAAUCACUUCCUCCAUGUUGGGGACAUACGUGCAUGGUUCUCUGCCAUUUCACUACCGGGUCCUUAUUGGCUUGGAUUCUAGAUGUGACCUGUGUGUCAUGCUCUCUCAGUUUGUGAAUGUGGAGCCAUUCCAGCUUUCUGGAGUUGUGCUGACUAAUAGGCUUGACAUGGUCACUUGCUUUUGAGUGUUCUACCAUGAGCCUAACAUUUCCUUCCAACCUCACAUUCACGCCUGGGAGCAGUGCCAAGCCCUAGACUCAUACACAAGUGAAAAUUAUUUCUGCCUUGUUCUAACACGGGGACUAAUUUUGUACCACACAAAUUAGGACAGCUGCUGUCAAACCUCCCAGGGUGAGGCAAAUACAAGAUGCCUGGAGUUGGGAGUACUCCGUUUUCUUCCCCCUCACUUCACCCAUAAAGCUGGCUUGGUUUAUUUAAGAUUAGCAGCAUUUACUGCUUUGCAUGGCUGUCUGUUUCUCAAGUGAAAAGGUAACCCUGUCCUUUUAAUCCCUCCUUCUUUGUAGCAAUUAUCCUUUCCUGCAUUUUCCUUUUUCUUUUUUGUCUCUGUCUAACCAGGAUCGCUUCUGCGGUGCAUGUUGUGUAUGAGACAAAAUUGUUCAUUACGCACAUCGCCUGUUUUGAUUAUGUGAAUGCCCAUUGAUACACAGCACACAGUAGAGGCAGUCCAGUGAUGGCCUCAAGGGUGUAUUAAGCACUACAUCUAACCAUUUUUUCAUCCUUUCUACAGACCGUAAUGAUACGACACUGACAGGUCAUAUUUUGUUAGGAAGAAUAAAAGGCAUUUCGUUAGUGAUCUUCACCACUAAGUGAAAACCCAGCAGCAGAGUUGUCAUUGUUGUUCCACUUAGGGCAAAUUUCAUCCUAGUUGCAUUUGGUGCCAUAUCUUUUUCUUUCUUUCAUUGUUUCUAAAAGUAAACCAGUCUUCACACACGGUGAAUCGACUUUGCAAGGAUUUAAGAUGUAUCACAUUUUUUCAAGUGCAACAAUAACUGAGCAUCAUUUGAUUCGUUUUUAUUUGUGAUUGGGAGGAGGCAAGACAAGAGGAGGAGGAUUGACUUGGGGCAGGGAAUGUAAGAGACAAGUGGUGACCAGGAAGUGCAGGGAAAGAAGGAAUCCCGUUUGUGAAACUAUUCCCAAGCAUUUCUAAUCUGCCCCUUGAAAAUCUAAGCACUAAAACUCAUUGAAAUUUAGCAUAUCAUGACAGCUUAAAGAUCUGUAUACCAGGCUUCUAUGUUUUUAUUUUACUUUUUUCACCUGGUGUAUACUCUGAAAUGGCUCUGAGGUUAAAAGUGAUGCUUCACUCCAUAUACAAAAUCUCCUCUCUUCUUCAGAUCCACAGAGAGGAAGAUUCUCC